UACGAAGGGGGCUAGCGUUGCUCGGAAUCACUGGGCGUAAAGCGCACGUAGGCGGCUUGUUAAGUCAGGGGUGAAAUCCUGGAGCUCAACUCCAGAACUGCCUUUGAUACUGGCGAGCUUGAGUUCGGGAGAGGUGAGUGGAACUGCGAGUGUAGAGGUGAAAUUCGUAGAUAUUCGCAAGAACACCAGUGGCGAAGGCGGCUCACUGGCCCGAUACUGACGCUGAGGUGCGAAAGCGUGGGAGCAAACA
rnacentral:rRNA from 1 species